UACAGAGGCCCCAAGCGUUGUUCGGAUUCACUGGGCGUAAAGGGUGCGUAGGCGGUCGGGUAAGUCUGACGUGAAAUCUUCAAGCUCAACUUGGAAACUGCGUCCGAUACUAUUCGGCUAGAGGAAUGGAGGGGAGACUGGAAUACUUGGUGUAGCAGUGAAAUGCGUAGAUAUCAAGUGGAACACCAGUGGCGAAGGCGAGUCUCUGGACAUUUCCUGACGCUGAGGCACGAAAGCCAGGGGAGCAAACGGG
rnacentral:rRNA from 1 species